ensembl:Y_RNA Y_RNA Y RNA
GGCUGGUCUGAAGGUAGCGAGUUACCUCAAUUGAUUGUUCACAGUCAGUUACAGAUCGAACUCCUUAUUCUACUCUUUUCCCCCCUUCUCACCACUACACUUGACUAGUCUUAA